UGAGCAAGAAUGACAACUUAUUUUUUUACCUGCUUACCGGUACCCUUGGGGGCCUAUAUAGAUGUCCUCCUACGCGUGAACCCAAUAUCUAAAUUUGUCAAUUAACCGAUCAUCUCCAUAUCCUGUCCGUUAAUGGGUGCCAAAUCUACCAUCGUCUCGAUACCCCGUCUAGUAUGAGGGUGAACCAUAUCUCCUAACUCUUCU
rnacentral:lncRNA from 1 species